rnacentral:rRNA from 1 species
UACGUAGGGGGGCGAGCGUUGUCCGGAUUUAUUGGGCGUAAAGAGCUCGUAGGCGGUUUGGUAAGUCGGGUGUGAAAUCUCCACGCUCAACGUGGAGGGGCCACUCGAUACUGCCAUGACUCGAGUCCGGUAGAGGAGUGUGGAAUUCCCGGUGUAGCGGUGAAAUGCGCAGAUAUCAGGAGGAACACCGGUGGCGAAGGCGGAUCUCUGGGCCAUUACUGACGCUGAGGAGCGAAAGCGUGGGGAGCGAACAGG